rnacentral:rRNA from 1 species
UACGGAGGGUGCAAGCGUUAUCCGGAUUCACUGGGUUUAAAGGGUGCGUAGGUGGGUCUGUAAGUCAGUGGUGAAAUCUUCGAGCUUAACUCGGAAACUGCCAUUGAUACUAUAGAUCUUGAAUUUUCUGGAGGUAAGCGGAAUAUGUCAUGUAGCGGUGAAAUGCUUAGAUAUGACAUAGAACACCAAUUGCGAAGGCAGCUUACUACGGGAACAUUGACACUGAGGCACGAAAGCGUGGAGAUCAAACAGG